UCUCUCGUAGCUUAGUGGCCAGAGUAUUGGUGCAUAAUGCCAAAGGUGCCGGGUUCGAUUCCCGGCGGGGGCG
rnacentral:tRNA from 1 species